AUUGAACGCUGGCGGCAGGCUUAACACAUGCAAGUCGAGCGGUAACAGAGAGAAGCUUGCUUCUCUGCUGACGAGCGGCGGACGGGUGAGUAAUGCCUAGGAAUCUGCCUAGUAGUGGGGGAUAACUUGCCGCAAGGUAAGCUAAUACCGCAUACGUCCUACGGGAGAAAGGAGGGGACCUUCGGGCCUUUCGCUAUUAGAUGAGCCUAGGUCGGAUUAGUUAGUUGGUGAGGUAAUGGCUCACCAAGACCGCGAUCCGUAACUGGUCUGAGAGGAUGAUCAGUCACACUGGAACUGAGACACGGUCCAGACUCCUACGGGAGGCAGCAGUGGGGAAUAUUGGACAAUGGGGGGAACCCUGAUCCAGCCAUGCCGCGUGUGUGAAGAAGGUCUUAGGAUUGUAAGGCACUUUAAGUUGGGAGGAAGAGCAGUUAACUAAUAUUUGACUGUUUUGACGUUACCGACAGAAUAAGCACCGGCUAACUUCGUGCCAGCAGCCGCAGUAA
rnacentral:rRNA from 1 species